UUUAAAAUUUCAAACAAGUGUUAACGUUCUGCGUUCUACUCGAGUGCAAAACCAUUCAAAAAUCAUGUACAUCCGCGGUGUAUUAAUAAUUGUAGUCUUGUUGUCAAUAACUUCGCGUGUAAGAUCCGGUCUAGGUAUUUCUUCGAAGUACUUUGAUCAAAUUGGCGGAAGUACUAUCUGCAGUUUUGGUGACCUGAACCUAGCCUGUUCUUCAAGUGUAUUUGAUGCUCUUGAAGACCCGGACGCAGGAUGUCAAGAUAUGUAUGUAGAGUUUACUGAUGGGAAACGUAAAAAACGACUAGUAGCGUGUACAGAUAGUGGAGGAACUAUCUAUGGAUGCGCCUAUUCUCAUCGGGGCGUAGCUACAGCAAUUACCUAUACUCCUAUGCUAAACGUUUGUGGUUAGGAUGUACAUAUGUACAUACGUACCUACUACCUACUAUACUAUACAACACCUAGUGCUAAUAUUUUAUUGUAAAUUUUUAAUCGUAUACCUUUUAUUGAAUUAAAUAUAUUUUUAAAACACACAA